rnacentral:rRNA from 1 species
UGGGGAAUAUUGCACAAUGGGCGCAAGCCUGAUGCAGCCAUGCCGCGUGUGUGAAGAAGGCCUUCGGGUUGUAAAGCACUUUCAGCGGGGAGGAAGGCGGUGAGGUUAAUAACCUCACCGAUUGACGUUACCUGCAGAAGAAGCACCGGCUAACUCCGUGCCAGCAGCCGCGGUAAUACGGAGGGUGCAAGCGUUAAUCGGAAUUACUGGGCGUAAAGCGCACGCAGGCGGUCUGUCAAGUCGGAUGUGAAAUCCCCGGGCUCAACCUGGGAACUGCAUUCGAAACUGGCAGGCUAGAGUCUUGUAGAGGGGGGUAGAAUUCCAGGUGUAGCGGUGAAAUGCGUAGAGAUCUGGAGGAAUACCGGUGGCGAAGGCGGCCCCCUGGACAAAGACUGACGCUCAGGUGCGAAAGCGUGGGGAGCAAACAGG